AUUGAACGCUGGCGGCAGGCCUAACACAUGCAAGUCGAACGAGUGGCGGACGGGUGAGUAAUUUCUGGGAAACUGCCUGAUGGAGGGGGAUAACUACUGGAAACGGUAGCUAAUACCGCAUACCCUCAGAUGUGCCCAGAUGGGAUUAGCUUGUUGGUGGGGUAACGGCUCACCAAGGCGACGGGCCCUAGCUGGUCUGAGAGGAGGACAAGCCACACUGGACCGGAGACACGGUCCAGACUCCUAGGGGAGGCAGAAGUGGGGAAUAGUGCAAAAUGGGCGAAAGCCUGAUGCAGCCAUGCCGCGUGUAUGAAGAAGGCCUUCGGGUUGUAAAGUACUUUCAGCGGGGAGGCGUUACCCGAAGAAGAAGCACCGGCUAACUCCGUGCCAGCCGCCGCGGUAAUUC
rnacentral:rRNA from 1 species